AAUAGAUACCCGGGUAGUCCACGCCGUAAACAAUGAGUGCUAAGUGUUGGGGGGUUUCCGCCCCUCAGUGCUGCAGCUAACGCAUUAAGCACUCCGCCUGGGGAGUACGGUCGCAAGACUGAAACUCAAAGGAAUUGACGGGGGCCCGCACAAGCGGUGGAGCAUGUGGUUUAAUUCGAAGCAACGCGAAGAACCUUACCAGGUCUUGACAUCCCGGUGACCACUAUGGAGACAUAGUUUCCCCUUCGGGGGCAACGGUGACAGGUGGUGCAUGGUUGUCGUCAGCUCGUGUCGUGAGAUGUUGGGUUAAGUCCCGCAACGAGCGCAACCCUUAUUCUUAAUUGCCAUCAUUUAGUUGGGCACUCUAAGGAGACUGCCGGUGAUAAACCGGAGGAAGGUGGGGAUGACGUCAAAUCAUCAUGCCCCUUAUGACCUGGGCUACACACGUGCUACAAUGGACGGUACAAACGGUUGCCAACCCGCGAGGGGGAGCUAAUCCGAUAAAACCGUUCUCAGUUCGGAUUGUAGGCUGCAACUCGCCUACAUGAAGCC
rnacentral:rRNA from 1 species